rnacentral:lncRNA from 1 species
UUCCAGAGGCCCCCGCUGGGUGCGUCUCCGCUCCGCUUUCCAUCGCCCCAAUUCCGAACAAAAGAAAAAAAAAAAAAGAAAAAAAAAGUUUGUUAAACCUGUAAAAUCUUUGUAUCUCAGAGAAAUCGUGACUACAGAAGGCAGUGGAAACAUGGGAGUAGUGAUGUGAUAAAUGCCCACAUGAGUUAAUGACGCAGGCAAGAAUAUCACCAACCAGAGAAUCUUGAAGCUUUGCAAACACUUCUCUACGGUGUUGCUCAGGAUUCCAUUCACGUGUCUUAUAAAUGUGGAAGACUUCCGGUACAAUUUUAGUUACGACCAGUCAUGGAGGCAGGUGCUCUGUGAACACUUCAGUGCUGAAAUUCACUUUACAUUCUUAAUUUAAAAUCCAGAAGUUUGGACUACACUCAUUUUUAUUUCUUCUGAUGGCGGAACAGUGAAUGUUUUUAUGGCACGUUGUCACAGAUACGUUUUCACAGCCAUCAGCAGCGUCAGAUGUGAAAAGAAGGCAGAUCUGAAUGUGCAGAGUGAGAAUUUGCUGUUAAUCACUUGCAAGAUACAAAGUGACGGCCAGCUGGAUGAAUAGGAGAAUGUAUGUGAACACCCAGAACUGACAGACCCGGGACGGUGCAAGUGGCUUGAAGUGGGCACUGAGAGAAAGCUCAGACAACAUUUAUACAUGCUAUUAACAUUCAAAUUAAUUUCCAUCAGGACACGACUUAAUUAAGGUGAGCUGUACAAAGUUCAUCUCAUUUCCCUUUACGCUCAAUUCCAUACACAAUGUAUGUUACCAGAGAGAUACUGCGCUAUGCUUCACUACUUUAAUCACUGGCCUGUCCCAUUGUAGUUCAGGAACGCAUGCAAGUGUACUGUUCUUAUUAGAGGCACGGUCUGGAAAAGAUGGCCGGGGAGCUGAACAGCAUUUCUAUUUCAGCUGCUGAAGCGCCCACUAACUUUGGAUGUCGCCUAAACCUUCAGAUGGAAUCCUUGCAGGCAUUCCCGUGGGGAUCGGGAAAUUGCAGUAUGCCGGAACUACCGUUGCUGAUGUGGGGCGAGCGCUCUGAAGUGCACUUGGAGAAGGACACAUUCAAAUACGGCAUAUAUGAAAAGUUUAAUAUUUUAGACAGCUAGAUGAAAUGCUGGGGUCUUGGUGCAUUUUGCUUUGGCGGUCCAGGCUUUUCAGCAUCUUAGGGAAAUGUUUGGAAAUGAAUUUUAUUUUCACAACUGUGGUACAAUUACAAGGCGGGGAUGUUUCAGCCUUCUCAACGAGGUGCCCUUGGUGGUGGUGGUCUGUAAAUGGCUACAGAACUGACAGAGAACUCUGCAAGCAUUUUCUUUCGUUCUGAUUUGUAGUUUUAUUUGUUUUAACAGAGGGAUAAAACCCAGCAUUGUGCAUGUCCUUGCUCUGUGGGUUGGGGAUGUAUCGUUGUUGUUGUCGUUGUUUUCCUGGGAAGUAAAACAGGGUAGGAUAUUGGAAAUAAGGGCAAGUGGAUUUAUUGCUGAGCGAGUUGUACGCUGUUUGACAGAAAAUUCCUGAACUGAUCGGUGUUGGUGGAAGUUGGGGCUGCCUCCCGAUGUUUCCUGAGCCUUCUAUUUAGUUUGGAGUUCUGGGAAGUAUUUGUGGGCUUAAUCCAUUUACGCUUUUGAUAGGUAAAUGCAAGCCAUGAGUAACGGUACAUUAUUGCUAAGAAAAGAUGAAUGGAAGAAUGGAUGUUUUAUUUUACUAUAUAUGCUGGGAAAGGUUGUUCUUUCUUUCAGAAUAUAGCCCUGCUUUUCCUCAUACAACCUAUUUACAGGAUCAGACUUCUUAACUUAUUCACUUUUUUAUUUCUGUAUUUAUUGUAAUUAAAGCCAAAGGAGACAACACUUCUUCAGUCUUCUGCAUUUACUGAGUGCCUUUAGCAAACACGCUGCAAGGCAUAGCCGUUAGAUGAGCAUUUCCAACCAUGGUGUGUAAAUGAGUUAUAAAAUACAAGCGGC